ACCAAGAUGGCAGCUGUCACCUUGGGUAGAGAAGGCCUUCCUGCUGGGGGCACUGGCCUGCUUCACCUGCUGUCUCAUGUCUUUCCAUCACCAGCACAGGUCAUCGGGAGCCUCCACAGGAAGAGUGGGGGGCCACAGUUGUCCUCUGGAGUUGAUCAUGACGAGGGAGGUCCACUCAACCACUGACGGCUCUCGUGCAGUCCGUAAGGCCUGUGCCUGCCCGAAGCUCUGCGUCCCGGUCCUCUGCAGCUGGGUGUCGCCUCUGCAUUCAGUCUCCGUGUGAGCUCCAUCCAUGCUGGCCGUGCACAUUACCCGCCUGAGACCUCCGGACACGGUCUGGGCUUUAGGAACUAGCCUCCACGGAGGCCAUGAUGCUCACCGACCCUUCCCAGAAUAAACCGAGUUCACGUGUC